rnacentral:rRNA from 1 species
CACGUAGGGGACGAGCGUUGUCCGGAUUUACUGGGCGUAAAGAGCGCGCAGGCGGUCGUUCAAGUCGAGUGUGAAAGCCCCCGGCUCAACUGGGGAGGGUCACUCGAUACUGAUCGACUUGAAGGCAGGAGAGGGAAGCGGAAUUCCCGGUGUAGUGGUGAAAUGCGUAGAUAUCGGGAGGAACACCAGUGGCGAAGGCGGCUUCCUGGCCUGUUCUUGACGCUGAGGCGCGAAAGCUAGGGGAGCAAACGGG